rnacentral:piRNA from 1 species
UGAUCAUUGAAGUGAAUGCAGGUGAAGAAC